UACAGAGGUCCCAAGCGUUGUUCGGAUUCAUUGGGCGUAAAGGGUGCGUAGGUGGUUGGGUAAGUUUGAUGUGAAAUCUCCGGGCUUAACCCGGAAACUGCAUUGAAUACUAUCUGGCUAGAGGGUUGGAGGGGGGACUGGAAUACUUGGUGUAGCAGUGAAAUGCGUAGAUAUCAAGUGGAACACCAGUGGCGAAGGCGAGUCCCUGGACAACUCCUGACACUGAGGCACGAAAGCUAGGGGAGCAAACAGG
rnacentral:rRNA from 1 species